AACGAACGCUGGCGGCAUGCCUAACACAUGCAAGUCGAACGAGACCUUCGGGUCUAGUGGCGCACGGGUGCGUAACGCGUGGGAACCUGCCCUUAGGUUCGGAAUAACUCCCCGAAAGGGGUGCUAAUACCGGAUAAUGUCUUCGGACCAAAGAUUUAUCGCCUUUGGAUGGGCCCGCGUUGGAUUAGCUAGUUGGUAGGGUAAAAGCCUACCAAGGCGACGAUCCAUAGCUGGUCUGAGAGGAUGAUCAGCCACACUGGGACUGAGACACGGCCCAGACCCCUACGGGGGGCAGCAGGGGGGAAUAUUGGAAAAUGGGCGAAAGCCUGAUCCAGCAAUGCCGGGUGAGUGAUGAAGGCCUUAGGGUUGUAAAGCUCUUUUACCCGGGAUGAUAAGGACAGUACCGGGAGAAAAAGCCCCGGCUAACCCCGU
rnacentral:rRNA from 1 species